rnacentral:rRNA from 1 species
UACGGAGGGAGCAAGCGUUACUCGGAAUUACUGGGCGUAAAGCGCGCGUAGGCGGCUUUGUAAGUUAGAGGUGAAAGCCCGGGGCUCAACCCCGGAAUUGCCUUUAAGACUGCAUCGCUUGAAUCCGGGAGAGGUGAGUGGAAUUCCGAGUGUAGAGGUGAAAUUCGUAGAUAUUCGGAAGAACACCAGUGGCGAAGGCGGCUCACUGGACCGGCAUUGACGCUGAGGUGCGAAAGCGUGGGGAGCAAACAGG